GAAAGAUCGUUUCCAACAAUUAACUUGCAGGGUAAAAAAAUGGAAUGCUUUAUGACCAACAUGUAUUUCUUUGAGUUGUAACUCAAACAGGAGGCACCAGAUGAGGGCGCUGUCACCAACCCUAUAAGAAGAAGGCUGAUAGAGGAAGUGAGCUGCUGCCAUUUUCGUUUGUUUGAUCAGGAUCAUCUGUAUCUUCUGAGGGAUUAUGGACUGGGCGUGAAAGUCGGUGUGGCGCUGCACCAGGUCACAAGGCUGCUAAAGGCCUAUCCCAGCUUUCAGGACUCAAGGUCACCAGUCUGUUACAGAGCUACUCCACCUUUUACUGCACAUAUAACGGUACAUUAUGUGGGAGACCUUCAGGUCCUGAACAUGAAGUCUUACUGG